UUGGGAUAUUUGUGUACUCACAGAGUUAUUUUCCAUGACAUUAAUUGUGGUUGUUUGGGAAUUCUGUUGUCAGAAGCAUUUAGACCAUCUGUGUGAAGUCACCCAAGUGGCAAACGAAAAGCCAGUAUAAAUGUUAGAGAGCAGCUAGGCUUGUUAGGAAUGGUCAAGGAGUGAGUGGUAAGAAACAUGACAGAAACACGGAGUGAACUAGAAUCCAAACCUCUGCCUUCAAUUUCUGUGAUGGGGAGCUCAUUUAUCCGCAACUUGUUGAACAGGGAUCAACCCAGAGGCAGAUGGCGUUCAACCCAGAGGCAGAUGGCGUUCAACCCAGAGGUAGAUGGUGUUCAACCCAGAUAAGUGUGAGGUGGUUCAUUUUGGAUGGACUGAACUGCUGAAUCAGAAAAGGCAAAAGGUGGGGGCUGUGUGUUUCAUGAUAAACCCUUUAUGGUGCUCCAAUGUGGCAGCUUUGUCGUACAUGUGUCACACUGACCUGGAACAACUAACAAUGAAGUGCCGACCAUUCGAUUUACCAAGAGGUUCUCUCCAUGAUUCUGACUGAAAUACCAUAUUCAACCGACUAUUAUCAAGCUCUUGAAAUACUGCAUGCUGCCAUCACCAAACAAAAAACAGUCUACCUCAACGUAUCUCAAAUCGUAGUCAGGGACUUCAACCAGGUUGUUUUGAAUAAAUCUCUUCCUGAUUACCAUCAGCAAACAGCCUGUAGCACCAGAGGUCCCAACGCGCUAGACCACUGCUCUACUAUGACAAGGAAUGCCUCCCAUUCCAAGCUCAGACUGCAUUACUGGAAUUAUGAUAAUUUGGCUGACCUUCUUGUACCUGCAUACAGGCAGAGGAUAAACAGCAAGAUUUCAGAGAUAAGGUCAACAAUGAGGUGGUCAUGGGAGGCAGAGGUGUGGAUACGGGAUUGUUUCAAGUCAGUGGACAGUGUUGUAUCCAAGGACUCAUCAGUAGAUCUGAAUGAAUACAACACAGAUGUCACGGACUUCAUAAAAACAACGGUAACGACUGCUCCCCCCCCCCCACAAAAUCAUUCAGAUUCUUCCCCAACCAGAAUUCUUGGAUGAACCAGGAGAUCUGCAAUCUGCUAAGGGCCAGACCAGAGGCGUUCAGGUCUGGUGACCAAGUAAGAUACAAGAGGUCCUGGUACGAUCUCCGUAAAGCUGUCUCACAGGUGAAGCGGCAGAUCUGGAUCAAAUCAGUCGAAGAUGGAUACACAACAGCAAUGGAAAGGCAUAAAUGCUAUUAUCUCUUACAAAGUGAAAUAGGUGACAACAGGGCUUCACUUCAAGAUGGGCUCAAUGCUUUCUAUGCUCACUUUUACCAUCAUUCACAAACUCCCACAAAACCCAAUGACCCGGUGAUUUCAGACUCCAAACUCGAAGUGAGAGUGUCCUUCGAGAGGGUGAACCUACAGAAACCAUCUGGCCCAGAUGGACUACCUGGCCAAGUACUUAAGCUCCCUCUCUCAGUUUCACCUCACCUACCACCUUGUACUUCUUCCUCCUCACCCCCCACCUUCUCAACUUUUUUUCCCAGUCCUGAUGAAGGGUCUCAGCCCGAAAUGUUGACUGUUUACUCUUUUCCAUAGCAGCUGCCUGGCUUGCUGAGUUUUUCCAGCAGUUUGUGUGUGUUACUGAAGACCUGUGCUGAUCAACUGUCUGGAGUGUUCACUGAGAUCUUUAACCUCUCGCUUCAGCAGUUUGAGGUACCUAGCUGCUUCAAGCAGCCCUCAAUCAUAUGUGCCUAAGUAGAAAAUGGUAACCUGCCUCAGUGACUUCUGUUCUGUAGCACUUACAUCCACUGUGAUGAAGUGUUUUGAGAGGCUGCUGAUGAAUCAUAUCAAUUCCUGUCUGAGAAGCCAUUUGAACCCACUCUAAUUUGCCUACCGUUACAACAGGUCCACAGCAGAUGCCAUUAAUUGGCUUUUCACACAACCCUGGAAUAUCUGGACAGUGCAAAGAUGCAUAUAUUAGCAGGAUACUCUUUUUUGACUACAUCUCAGCAUUAAAUACUAUCAUCUCUUCAAAACUAAUCAAUAAGAUUCAAAACCUUGGCCUCAAUAUCUUCUUGUGUAAUUGGAUCCUCGGUUUCCUCACUUGCCGGCCCCAGUCAGUCUAGAUGGACAACAACAUCUCCUCCACAAUUUCCAUCAGCACGGGUGCACUAGAAGGCUGUGUGCUUGGCCCACUACUCUACUCAUUUUAUACUUACGAUUGUGUGGCUAAGCGCAACUCCAAUGCCAUAUUUAAGUUUGCUGAUGACACCACUGUUGUUGAGUCAAUCAAAGGUCGUCAAUCAUCACACAGGUGGGAGACUGGCAAUCUGAUCUGGAUGAGUAGUGCCACAUCAACAACCUUUCACUCAAUGUCAGCAAGGCCAAGGAGCAGAUUAUUGACUUCAAGAGAGGAAACUGAAGGUCCACGAUCCAGUCCUCAUUGGGGGAUCAGAGGUGCAGAGUGUCAGCAACGUUAAAUUCCUUGGUGUUAUCAUCUCAGAGGGAUUGUUCUGAGCCAGGCACGUCUCUACUUCCUUAGAAGUUUGCGAAGAUUCGGAAUGAGAUCUAAUACUUUGACAAAAUAUUGACUGGUUGCAUCACAGCCUGGUGUGGAAACACCAAUGCCCUUGAACUGAAAAUUCUACAUAAAACAGUGAAUAUGACCCAGUCCAUCAUGGGUAAAUGUCUCCCCACCAUUAAGCACAUCUACACGGAGCACUGCUGUAAGAAAGCAGCAUCCAUCAUCAGGGACCCCCACCACCCAGGUCAUGCUCGCUUCUCACUGCUGUCAUCAGGGAGGAGGUAGAGGAGUCUCAGGACUCAUACAAGGAUCAGGAACAGUUAUUACCUCUCAACCAUCAGGCUCUUCAGCCAAAGGGGAUAACUUCACUCAACUUCACCCACCCCAUCACUGAACUGUUCUCACAACCUAUGGACUCACUUUCAAGCACUCCUCAUCUCAUGUUCUCGAUAUCUAUUGAUUAUUUAGCUAUUUAUGUCUUUGUUUGUUUAUUUAUUAUUAUUUUCUCUGUUGUACUUACACAGAUUGGUGUCUUUUGCACAUUGGCUGUUUGUCCGCCCUACUGGAUGUGGUCUUUUAUUGAUUCUACUAUGGUUCUUGGAUUUUCUGAGUAUGCCUGCAAGAAGAUGAAUCUCAGGGUUGUGCUGUAUAUUGUGACAUUUAUGUACUUUGAUAAUAAAUGUACUUUGAACUUUU